ACUAAGCGUACACGGUGGAUGCCCUGGCAGUCAGAGGCGAUGAAGGACGUGCUAAUCUGCGAUAAGCGUCGGUAAGGUGAUAUGAACCGUUAUAACCGGCGAUUUCCGAAUGGGGAAACCCAGUGUGAUUCGUCACACUAUCAUUAACUGAAUCCAUAGGUUAAUGAGGCGAACCGGGGGAACUGAAACAUCUAAGUACCCCGAGGAAAAGAAAUCAACCGAGAUUCCCCCAGUAGCGGCGAGCGAACGGGGAGGAGCCCAGAGCCUGAAUCAGUGUGUGUGUUAGUGGAAGCGUCUGGAAAGGCGCGCGAUACAGGGUGACAGCCCCGUACACAAAAAUGCACAUGCUGUGAGCUCGAUGAGUAGGGCGGGACACGUGGUAUCCUGUCUGAAUAUGGGGGGACCAUCCUCCAAGGCUAAAUACUCCUGACUGACCGAUAGUGAACCAGUACCGUGAGGGAAAGGCGAAAAGAACCCCGGCGAGGGGAGUGAAAAAGAACCUGAAACCGUGUACGUACAAGCAGUGGGAGCCUCUUUAUGGGGUGACUGCGUACCUUUUGUAUAAUGGGUCAGCGACUUAUAUUCUGUAGCAAGGUUAACCGAAUAGGGGAGCCGAAGGGAAACCGAGUCUUAACUGGGCGUUAAGUUGCAGGGUAUAGACCCGAAACCCGGUGAUCUAGCCAUGGGCAGGUUGAAGGUUGGGUAACACUAACUGGAGGACCGAACCGACUAAUGUUGAAAAAUUAGCGGAUGACUUGUGGCUGGGGGUGAAAGGCCAAUCAAACCGGGAGAUAGCUGGUUCUCCCCGAAAGCUAUUUAGGUAGCGCCUCGUGAAUUCAUCUCCGGGGGUAGAGCACUGUUUCGGCAAGGGGGUCAUCCCGACUUACCAACCCGAUGCAAACUGCGAAUACCGGAGAAUGUUAUCACGGGAGACACACGGCGGGUGCUAACGUCCGUCGUGAAGAGGGAAACAACCCAGACCGCCAGCUAAGGUCCCAAAGUCAUGGUUAAGUGGGAAACGAUGUGGGAAGGCCCAGACAGCCAGGAUGUUGGCUUAGAAGCAGCCAUCAUUUAAAGAAAGCGUAAUAGCUCACUGGUCGAGUCGGCCUGCGCGGAAGAUGUAACGGGGCUAAACCAUGCACCGAAGCUGCGGCAGCGACGCUUAUGCGUUGUUGGGUAGGGGAGCGUUCUGUAAGCCUGCGAAGGUGGCCUGUGAGGGUUGCUGGAGGUAUCAGAAGUGCGAAUGCUGACAUAAGUAACGAUAAAGCGGGUGAAAAGCCCGCUCGCCGGAAGACCAAGGGUUCCUGUCCAACGUUAAUCGGGGCAGGGUGAGUCGACCCCUAAGGCGAGGCCGAAAGGCGUAGUCGAUGGGAAACAGGUUAAUAUUCCUGUACUUGGUGUUACUGCGAAGGGGGGACGGAGAAGGCUAUGUUGGCCGGGCGACGGUUGUCCCGGUUUAAGCGUGUAGGCUGGUUUUCCAGGCAAAUCCGGAAAAUCAAGGCUGAGGCGUGAUGACGAGGCACUACGGUGCUGAAGCAACAAAUGCCCUGCUUCCAGGAAAAGCCUCUAAGCAUCAGGUAACAUCAAAUCGUACCCCAAACCGACACAGGUGGUCAGGUAGAGAAUACCAAGGCGCUUGAGAGAACUCGGGUGAAGGAACUAGGCAAAAUGGUGCCGUAACUUCGGGAGAAGGCACGCUGAUAUGUAGGUGAAGCGACUUGCUCGUGGAGCUGAAAUCAGUCGAAGAUACCAGCUGGCUGCAACUGUUUAUUAAAAACACAGCACUGUGCAAACACGAAAGUGGACGUAUACGGUGUGACGCCUGCCCGGUGCCGGAAGGUUAAUUGAUGGGGUUAGCGGUAACGCGAAGCUCUUGAUCGAAGCCCCGGUAAACGGCGGCCGUAACUAUAACGGUCCUAAGGUAGCGAAAUUCCUUGUCGGGUAAGUUCCGACCUGCACGAAUGGCGUAAUGAUGGCCAGGCUGUCUCCACCCGAGACUCAGUGAAAUUGAACUCGCUGUGAAGAUGCAGUGUACCCGCGGCAAGACGGAAAGACCCCGUGAACCUUUACUAUAGCUUGACACUGAACAUUGAGCCUUGAUGUGUAGGAUAGGUGGGAGGCUUUGAAGUGUGGACGCCAGUCUGCAUGGAGCCGACCUUGAAAUACCACCCUUUAAUGUUUGAUGUUCUAACGUUGGCCCCUGAUCGGGGUUGCGGACAGUGUCUGGUGGGUAGUUUGACUGGGGCGGUCUCCUCCUAAAGAGUAACGGAGGAGCACGAAGGUUGGCUAAUCCUGGUCGGACAUCAGGAGGUUAGUGCAAUGGCAUAAGCCAGCUUGACUGCGAGCGUGACGGCGCGAGCAGGUGCGAAAGCAGGUCAUAGUGAUCCGGUGGUUCUGAAUGGAAGGGCCAUCGCUCAACGGAUAAAAGGUACUCCGGGGAUAACAGGCUGAUACCGCCCAAGAGUUCAUAUCGACGGCGGUGUUUGGCACCUCGAUGUCGGCUCAUCACAUCCUGGGGCUGAAGUAGGUCCCAAGGGUAUGGCUGUUCGCCAUUUAAAGUGGUACGCGAGCUGGGUUUAGAACGUCGUGAGACAGUUCGGUCCCUAUCUGCCGUGGGCGCUGGAGAACUGAGGGGGGCUGCUCCUAGUACGAGAGGACCGGAGUGGACGCAUCACUGGUGUUCGGGUUGUCAUGCCAAUGGCACUGCCCGGUAGCUAAAUGCGGAAGAGAUAAGUGCUGAAAGCAUCUAAGCACGAAACUUGCCCCGAGAUGAGUUCUCCCUGACUCCUUGAGAGUCCUGAAGGAACGUUGAAGACGACGACGUUGAUAGGCCGGGUGUGUAAGCGCAGCGAUGCGUUGAGCUAACCGGUACUAAUGAACCGUGAGGCUUAACC
rnacentral:rRNA from 1 species